UGAUGUCAAAACUGCAUUCUUAUAUGGU
rnacentral:sRNA from 1 species